ACCCUUUCUCUCUGUAGAAAUUUGUUCCGAUCUCAUCUGUUUUUAUCUUCAGUGUCGAUUAUUGUUGGUGGUAGUGAUGGUGGUUUAUGGUCUCUGGUCCUCGGUGUUAGCAACGACGGCUAGGGUUUUCAAGGGAGAUGUCAACGACGUUUGUUCCGGUUAGGGUUCAGACGAUCGAUGGCGUUGUGGGGAGUUCAGAUGACAGAGAUGAGGGUUAAAGGGUGAAAAGACGGGGGUGGUUUGAGCUAUAGCCGUGAUUCCUAUCAGCUAGGGUUUCCGGCAAAGAAGUUUUAUUGGAAAAGAAAUCAGAUGAGAUUCCAUGGUUUUUGCAGUUCUAUUGGUUGUGGAGCAUUUGGCUAUGUAACUGAGGUAACUUUGAUUGUUCUUAAGAAAUUGACGAAUUAAAUUGUUAUAAUUUUAAUUUGAAAGUUUUUAGCCAUAAAAGUGAAUUGAAUAAUACAGAGUAGCAAGAAAUAUUAAACAUGAAAAUGCAUUUAAUAUAGAGUAAAUUUUAAAAGCUUUUCAUUUGGAAUUGGAUAAUUAAAAGUUCUACUAAAAAAACACAUAAAGAUCAGCUGUAGUUGCAUUAGAAACUCAAAAUGUAAUAAGGUAGCUACAACUCUUUUAUUAUUAUUUUUUCAGCAGUGAAUUAUUACUUAUAAUUUGAAGAGAAAGAAAAGUUGUUUCAGCUUAAGGUUCUAAAAAUUUGACGGCUUCGAGCUCAGAUAAAGGAAGGUUUGUAACAAUAAUCAAACCAAGAAAUGGCAGGUGCAGAUGAUAUCGAUCAACAUGUCGCUGCCAUGGUUUACGGGAGCCUUGAGUCUUAGAAAAGUCGAUUAGAUUUUAGUUUCAUGUAGCACAACCGUUAUAUAUUGGUUUAUUAUGUUUUUGAAGACUUCGUUUUAUUUGAAUUUGUUUGGU